rnacentral:lncRNA from 1 species
GACAUAGUUGUCAUUGAUAAUGUCAUCAAAGAACUUUUCAAACACAUGUGUAUCAAUAGGGUGACCAUCUACCAUAACACAAUUGACAUUAGGGAUUAUCUUGUCAUAUGAUUCAUUAGCAUAUUUAGAUGGUUUCUCACUAUGAAAAGAAGAGGGUUCAACCUGUGGUCGAACAGAUGUUGAAACAAACAAUUUAUAAUUUUAUUCAAUAGGUGAGUCUAUCAUGCCC